AGAGUUUGAUCCUGGCUCAGAGCGAACGCUGGCGGCGUGCUUAACACAUGCAAGUCGAACGCGCAGCAGUUUGUAGCAAUACAGAUUGUGGGCGCGUGGCGAACGGGUGCGUAACACGUGGAUAACCUUCCUUCAGGUGGGGAAUAACCCAGUGAAAAUUGGGCUAAUACCGCAUAACAUGACGAUGGCUCAUGCCGUUGUCUUCAAAGGCGCAAGUCGCCAGAAGAGGGAUCCGCGGCCGAUUAGCUAGUUGGCGAGGUAAUGGCUCACCAAGGCAUUGAUCGGUAGCCGGACUGAGAGGUUGGCCGGCCACACUGGAACUGAGACACGGUCCAGACUCCUACGGGAGGCAGCAGUGGGGAAUCUUGCACAAUGGACGAAAGUCUGAUGCAGCAACGCCGCGUGGGGGAUGAAGCUUUUCGGAGUGUAAACCCCU
rnacentral:rRNA from 1 species